GCGCAUGCGCAGCGCUGCUGGCCCGCUCUCUGAGGAGCUUUCAAUACUUUGGGGUCAAGUUUGAGGCAGUUGUAACUGUACUGAGUUUAGUUUUGCUAAUAAUGGUAUUCUACGUGUGUCAGCCUCGUGUGGACUUCUGUAAUGACUAAUGGAUAUGUUUAUAUCCUGAGCAUUUGCUGUAGGAAUUUUAAAUGCAAUCCCAAAACUCAAGAUUACCUUAUUUGGAGAAAUAUUCGUGUUACUAUGUUUAAAAUUUAAUAGAACCAUAUUUUACCUUUCACUUUGGGACUCGCACAGGAUGUUUGCAGCUCUUGAUAUACAGGAACUAGAACGUGUCUUUUAAGAGCAUGCGGUUUUAUAAUUACGUGGAAGUAUGCUACGCAAGGGAAAAAAGCCUCUUGCUAGUGUUAAGGGUCUUCAUAAACAGAAACCGCAAGGAACCUGGGAUCUGACAGCUGUUGGAGGAAUGCCUGUGAGGAAGGAGGAGGAACAGAAGAAUGCUUUGAUGUCUUAAAUGGUACAUCCAAACUUAAGUGAAAUAGAGCUGUGAGGACAUUUUGGGGAGAAGUGACCUAGAUAAGCACUGACUGUUGCAUUCAUCUCUCUUCUUGCUGAUUGUGAUGAUUUCCUGUGCCAUAGCCAUUCAAAGUCUGCCAAAAAAGGCCUUGCCUCCUGGAUGGCAUUUUUGAACCCACCCUGGGCCAGAGGGGAGCCCACUUCUUUGAAGACAGAAACACAGGACUGGCAACAUUUACCAUAAGCUGACUGAGCAGCCAUUGGGCCUUGAGUGAACAUUGGUGGUAGCCAGGCAGUACUUGUCUCAGUACUUGCCUCAGGCCUGGGGUGUCGGUGACCACAGGGAGAGCAUCCAUCUGCUUGAGGAAAGGAGAACAAAGAAAAUAAAGGGCUUAAUCUUGCACUUGAUUGCCAGCUCAGCCAUAGUAGAAUACAGCACCAAGUAAAUUCCUAAGGAUCCUGAUUCCAGGUCCUGGCUCCCAGAUGACAUUUUAGGACUUGUCUUGGGCUUAGGGGGAGCUCGUCAUACUGAAGGGAAAAACACAAGCCUGGCUGGAUUUGCCACCAGCUGAAUAAAGAGUGCUUGGGCCUUGAGUGAACAUUGGCAAUAGCCAAGGAGUGGUCACCAUGGACCUUAGGCAAGAAACCCGGUGCCGUGCUGGCUUUGGAUCUGACCCAGCAUAAUCUCACUGGUAUUUUACUUCUUGUCCAUUUACUUUUUAGUUUAUCAUACACACCAUGUUUACUAGUACUAAAACUGUCUUAAAAUAUUGCAAUUUUGACCCUUUUUCUAAUUGACCUUUAUGUUUUUACAAGCACAUUUUAUUACAUAUGAAUGAGACUUUACUAUGUUAUAUGUAACUCUUAAUUCUGUAAAUAAUAGAUUGCUUAUCUGAAAUAUAGCUGAUAUUUGUUUCUUAAUUAUUUGGCUAUUCCCUA
rnacentral:lncRNA from 1 species